UAUUUUUAAUACUAGAUACGUUGUUUUAUCAAAAUACUAUAUUUAUUUGGCUAUGGCCAAAAGCGAUAAUUGACAAAUUAUUAUCAAAAUGAUCGAAAAAUGAAAAACUUUAAGAUACCGUUUGUGAUUCAAAUAUUUUGCGUGGGGAAAUAACUACUCGGGCAAUUAUAGUCUUAAUAAUUAAAAAAUCACUUUUUUACUAGAGGAAAAGAACACGGACUGUUCAAAUUAUUUUGUUAUAGUGGUAUU